rnacentral:rRNA from 1 species
UGGGGAAUUUUCCGCAAUGGGCGAAAGCCUGACGGAGCAAUACCGCGUGAGGGAAGACGGCCUAUGGGUUGUAAACCUCUUUUUUCAGGGAGGAAUCAAUGACGUGUACCUGAAGAAUAAGCAUCGGCUAACUCCGUGCCAGCAGCCGCGGUAAGACGGAGGAUGCAAGUGUUAUCCGGAAUCACUGGGCGUAAAGCGUCUGUAGGUGGUUGAACAAGUCAACUGUUAAAUCUUGAGGCUUAACUUCAAAAUCGCAGUCGAAACUGUUUGACUAGAGUAUAGUAGGGGUAAAGGGAAUUUCCAGUGGAGUGGUGAAAUGCGUAGAUAUUGGAAAGAACACCGAUGGCGAAGGCACUUUACUGGGCUAUUACUGACACUCAGAGACGAAAGCUAGGGUAGCAAAUGGGAUUAGAUACCCCAGUAGUCCUAGCCGUAAACAAUGGAUACUAGAUGUUGAACAGAUCGACCUGUGCAGUAUCAAAGCUAACGCGUUAAGUAUCCCGCCUGGGAAGUAUGCUCGCAAGAGUG